UGAGUAACCUGCCCUUAACUCUGGGAUAAGCCUGGGAAACUGGGUCUAAUACCGGAUAUGACUCCUCAUCGCAUGGUGGGGGGUGGAAAGCUUUUGUGGUUUUGGAUGGACUCGCGGCCUAUCAGCUUGUUGGUGAGGUAAUGGCUCACCAAGGCGACGACGGGUAGCCGGCCUGAGAGGGUGACCGGCCACACUGGGACUGAGACACGGCCCAGACUCCUACGGGAGGCAG
rnacentral:rRNA from 1 species